UACGGAGGAUCCGAGCGUUAUCCGGAUUUAUUGGGUUUAAAGGGUGCGUAGGCGGACUGGUAAGUCAGCUGUGAAAGUUUACGGCUCAACCGUGAAAUUGCAGUUGAUACUGUUGGUCUUGAGUAUACAUGAGGUGGGCGGAAUUUGUGGUGUAGCGGUGAAAUGCUUAGAUAUCAGGAGGAACACCGGUGGCGAAGGCGGGUCUCUGGGCAGUAACUGACGCUGAUGCACGAAGGUGUGGGUAUCAAACAGG
rnacentral:rRNA from 1 species